rnacentral:snRNA from 1 species
AUACUCUGGUUUCUCUUCAGAUCGUAUAAAUCUUUCGCCUUUUACUAAAGAUUUCCGUGGAAAAUAUUUCAAAGUCUAAAAACCAAUGUCAAGG